rnacentral:rRNA from 1 species
UCUUCGGAUCGUAAAACUCUGUUAUCAGGGAAGAACAAAUGUGUAAGUAACUGUGCACAUCUUGACGGUACCUGAUCAGAAAGCCACGGCUAACUACGUGCCAGCAGCCGCGGUAAUACGUAGGUGGCAAGCGUUAUCCGGAAUUAUUGGGCGUAAAGCGCGCGUAGGCGGUUUUUUAAGUCUGAUGUGAAAGCCCACGGCUCAACCGUGGAGGGUCAUUGGAAACUGGAAAACUUGAGUGCAGAAGAGGAAAGUGGAAUUCCAUGUGUAGCGGUGAAAUGCGCAGAGAUAUGGAGGAACACCAGUGGCGAAGGCGACUUUCUGGUCUGUAACUGACGCUGAUGUGCGAAAGCGUGGGGAUCAAACAGGAUUAGAUACCCUGGUAGUCCACGCCGUAAACGAUGAGUGCUAAGUGUUAGGGGGUUUCCGCCCCUUAGUGCUGCAGCUAACGCAUUAAGCACUCCGCCUGGGGAGUACGACCGCAAGGUUGAAACUC